UAGCUCCUCCCACAAAUCGCUCUCUCUUCCUACUUCCACUGUAGGACGCAGUUGCAAAAGGAGGCUUCUCUCCCUCACGGCUUACUUUUUCAAGCCCACUCUUGCUGAUUGCCCCUCUCUCUCUCUCCCAAGCUCUGCAGAAAUCAAUCACAGAAGAAAAUAGCUCAAGUGCUCUUGAUGCUUCCCUAUCCUUCUCUUCUCCUAACUGGAUAUGUUUGGGGCAUAUUGCUGCAAGUAUUUUACGCGGCCUAAUCGGAAGCUAGAUGGCUUAUAUAAUCAGUGUCCUCUAUGUUGAAUAUAGUUCCAAAAAGGAAAAGGAAAACGUUAGCUUCAAGAACCACCACGCCAUCUAGGCUUCCCUAUUCUUAAACUGUGAGGAGGUUAUAAGAUCUGGCGACCAUGAUGACAAUGAAGAAGCGACGAAAAGGAUGAUGAGGAUGGCAAUGAUGGUGCUAAUUAGAAGCGACGAAGAUGCGACAAUGAACAUAGCAGGGAUCUUAUGAAGCAUAAGUUCAAGAAAAUUUUCUUCAUUUGUGAGCAAUUGAUCAACGUGACAGAGUGACCAGUGUCUUCAAAGGAGUGGGUUUGGAAGCUUAUUACUAGAAGGAUUGGAUUUGAUCUUAACAACGUAGAUUUGGUUUUUCUUGAUACAUAUUUUCUUUAAUUCAUUGGCUGCUACUGCUGCAGGCUUAUUUUUCUUUUAGUUUUUGUUUUGACAUUUACAACAACUUGCAUCAUGGUUUUUCUAAUCUUUCUACUGACCUUCAUUUACUUUUCCUACCCAUCUAUCUCACAUGCCAAAGCUUUUUAUAAAUGCAAUUGUCUCUAUUUUUGCAGCCUGCGUUUUUGAGGCCAGUAGUGUGGUAAGUUGUCAUGAGGGUGUUCAUGUGUUUUCUAGAACUAAUGUUGAUUCAUGAGAGGCCAGUGGUGUGGGACAAUCUACAACUUUUAAAACAGCCGUAUUGCUAUGCCACAUAGAAGGCUAAUGGGACACGUUAUAUGAUGUCAAUCACCUGCAAUGAACGUCAUUUGAUUGACCGAAAAUUUCAGUUUCAAAAGGUCCAUAUUUGGUUUCCAUGCAGAUUUUUGAGUGGGGUAUGCAAGAACUUUGGCAGGGCCUCAAUCUAUGUAGACGCCUUCAGCUAUAACCCCAAGGUUGCUAUACUGCUAAAUUCUAAUAGACUAGAAUGAA